GCCCCCCGCCCGGGGCCAGCCGCCCCGUCCGGGAGGCUUCCAUUUUGAAUCAUUUUCAACGGGUCCCUGAUUCUCACCAAAGACGGUUCCUUCUCAGAUGUGAGGACUGCUCCUCUCCUCACCUGGGUACACUGUUGGCUCUGGUUUCCUGAACACAUCCCAGAACAGCAAAAGCUGUUUUCCAGCCCCACCAAGAAGAGUUUCCAGGUUGCAAUCCCAGGGUCUCUUUUCUCUCCCAAAGUCACAACUUCGGACUCAAAAGAAGAAACCAAACCAUCGCCCUGCGUUCUUUAGUUUUCUUGUUGGGCCUUCAGACUCCCUGAAGACACAUUCCGAAUUCCUUCUGGCAACAACACGGGAAUGCUCUGUGGGUCGAGCAUACAUCCUAAUAUGUGGGCCUCUGACACUUUUUUUUCUUUUUUUUUUUUUGAGACAGAGUCUUGCUCGGUCACCCAGGCUGGAGUGCAGUGGCACAAUCUUGGCUCACAGCAACCUCCGCUGCCAGGGUUCAAGCUAUUCUCCAGCCUCAGCCUCCCGAGCAGCCGGGACUACAGGUGUGCAUCACCAUGCCUGGCUAAUUUUUGUAUUUUCAGUAGAGAUGGGUUUUCACCAUGUUGGCCAGGCUGGUCUCGAACUCCUAACCUCAAGUGAUCCACCUGCCUCAGCCUCCCAAAGAGCUGGGAUUAUGGGCGUGAGCCACCAUGACCUGCCGAUGCUUCCUAUGUCAAGUGUCUUUUAGCACAUAGGCACCUAACCGAAGAGCACUCACCACUAUUCCCCUGCCUCUUCCCUGCUAAGAGAACCCCACCCACUAGGUUGAGGCAGCAAAUGGAGCCCUUCUGAUCUCAAAGAGGGUGCGCCUGACCCCAGGCCCUGAGCAUGAAUCAUGAUUGGUCUAAAGUGGUCAUUCUAAUCUCCCUGGCUGCUCAGUGGUCAAGGCAGACCCUUCUGCGACCAAAGAGAUGCAAGGUGGAAGUGUGCCAAAAAGAACAACAGUGCCCCUUCUUCCUCCUUCCUUUCUUCAAUAUGAACUUGGUGGCUGGGGCUGCAGCAGCCAUCUUGGGACCAUUAGGCAAAGGCCAGGGGAAAUGCAGAGCCACAGCACCACCUACAUCCGGGGCACUGAUAGUAAGAAAAAUACACCAGUAUGUAUUCAAUACGCUGUAGCUGGUUCUUCUAGUACCUGCUACUAAAAUCAAUCCUGACUAACUGUCAACCACCAUUUUUUUGACUGAAUGUGACUUCCUGCAGAAUGCUGCUUCAGGAAUGGUGAAAGAAUCUGAACUGCAUGACAGGGGUACUUUGUCCUGGUGUAUUUGUAUUUGACAAAGCUCACUUCCUCUUAAAGAGUACUGUAGUUUCGAAAUAAACACAAUUGAAAUUUGUUUCCUUUUGAAGAUUUUUUGGGGUGAACUGGUUACCUGCCUUGAAAUCUCUAGGCCAUGCUGGAAUGUUCUAUAAUGAGGAAUGGAACUCUCUGUUAAAGGUAUUUUCAAAAUGUUACUGUGCUUUAAUUGCACAGACUGAAGACUCUGAUUUUAAAGAGAGAAAUCAGCACCUAGACGCACCAUUUCAGCAAAAUAAAUGGUCAUGAUUGGCUUGGUAAGAAGAUAGAAGAAGUGAACAGUAAAAAAUUCUUAAACUUCCAUUAUUUUUCAUCCAUUAAAUGAGAAGUUGAAAUCCCCGGGAGUCCCAAAGUAGAUAAGGGCCAGUGGCACAGACUUUAAUUUCUCAGCC
rnacentral:lncRNA from 10 species